UUCAGUUUUUCUUCCGUAGAGGAUCGGUGCUCACUUUUGAAAUGAGGUCCUCUGAUGUUACCAGCAGGCCAUGCUCCACCUUGGGCAGACAGAGGUCCUAGGGACUUCAGUCUGCAUUCUCAGACUUACGUGGGGUUUCUGGAGUAAAGCCACUGCCUCAUCUUGCUAUGAUCACCAGGCUCCUUUUCAGCAUGGUCCUUUGUUUCUUGAGAGCAGAACCAACAGUUGCUGGCGUUACCCAAACACCCAGGUCCAAAGUGACAGAGAAAGGACAAGAAGCAACUCUGAGAUGUGAACCAAUUUCAGGACACGAUAGUGUUUUCUGGUACAAGCAGACCACUAUGCAGGGAAUGGAAUUCCUGAUUUUCUUUCGCAACCAGGCUCCUAUAGAUGACAAAGGGAUGCCCAAGGAACGAUUCUCAGCUCAGAUGCCCAAUUCGAAGCUCUCCACUCUGAUGAUCCAGGCAGCACAGCCCCAGGACUCAGCUGUGUAUCUCUGUGCCAGCAGCUUAGUCACAGAGCUACAGAAUCACAUCCAACUGGGGCAGAAACCCUAUAUGCUUUCCCUUCCCUGUCCAUCUCCCAGAAACAGUUCUCAGAGGUGUUCCUGGGGAGUUCUCAGAACAGGAAGGAUGUGGGCUUAAUGUCUUCUGUGUUCCUAGAGAAGAC